AUGUCUUUAUUUGAACACUUUCAUAAAGGGACUCUCGACAUCCAACGUCUUAACUACGGUGUGAUAACACUGUUGCCUAAGAGUGCUGGGGCAGACAAAAUAAAACAGUUUAGACAUAUCUGUCUCCUUAGGUGCCCAUAUAAAAUGAUCAGUAAAGUGCUAGACCGUAGAGUGGAGAAGUAUGCCAAUAAGUUGAUUAGCUCGACCCAAAAUGCUUUUGUUAAAGGGAGGAAUAUCAUGUAUGGUGUUCUCUCUCUGCAUGAGAUAUUGAACUAUACUCAUGUGAAGAAAAGGGUGGGGGCAGUACUAAAACUCGACUUUGAAAAAGCCUACUACAGGGUGAAUUGGGAGUUCCUGUUAGAAUGUCAUAAGCAGCGAGGCUUUAAUGAAACCUAG
rnacentral:rRNA from 1 species